rnacentral:ncRNA from 2 species
CAACGCUUGACGGGGUGCCGGUGGAACCGGCUGAGAUCACCCUAUGCCCACGGGCAUCACGGUGGAUCCCGAUGAACCUGAUCCGGCUAGUACCGGCGUAGGGAUCAAGCGAAGGAUCCGC